UAGAGUUUGAUCAUGGCUCAGAUUGAACGCUGGCGGCAGGCCUAACACAUGCAAGUCGAGCGGUAACAGAUCCAGCUUGCUGAUGCUGACGAGCGGCGGACGGGUGAGUAAUGCAUAGGAAUCUGCCCGAUAGUGGGGGAUAACCUGGGGAAACCCAGGCUAAUACCGCAUACGUCCUACGGGAGAAAGGGGGCUCCGGCUCCCGCUAUCGGAUGAGCCUAUGUCGGAUUAGCUGGUUGGUGAGGUAAAGGCUCACCAAGGCGACGAUCCGUAGCUGGUCUGAGAGGAUGAUCAGCCACAUCGGGACUGAGACACGGCCCGAACUCCUACGGGAGGCAGCAGUGGGGAAUAUUGGACAAUGGGGGCAACCCUGAUCCAGCCAUGCCGCGUGUGUGAAGAAGGCCCUCGGGUUGUAAAGCACUUUCAGUGAGGAAGAACGCCUGGUGGUUAAUACCCAUCAGGAAAGACAUCACUCACAGAAGAAGCACCGGCUAACUCCGUGCCAGCAGCCGCGUA
rnacentral:rRNA from 1 species